AAAGGUUUGACAAUUAAGGAAUGUUAAGAAUAAGUUCUAAUUAUCUUCCUCCUCCUGUAUCUUGUUCCCUUGAUGCUCUUUGAUGGCCUUCACUAAAGCCCACAUGUGAAUCACAGCUUCUGCUGCAUGCCCACUCCUUUUGCCUAAAUAAGCAGUUAUCAUCAUCCAUCCAGAAUUGCCCUCUGUCCCGGGCUGCAUACAUCAUCAGAGGAGAAUGUUGAUCACCUGUUUCCAAGCCUUGGCAAGGCAAUUCAGGAUAAAUGUUCUAUAAGGUACCUUGAGACUGAAUUAUGCUUUCCAUUAGUGUUUAUGUCACAAGGACUUGUUAAUACAGAAAUAUUCUUAAAUGUUCUACAAUAAAUGAUUCUGGCCUUGCAGUGCUAGCCUGUAGACAACUGAGCAUUGAAUUCUGCAAGGGAGAUAAGGGAGAACACUGUAAAAAGACAGUGUCUGCUGCACAAAUCACAAGUGCUUAUUAUAUGGCCCAGUACAAGUUAAGGCAGCAUGUGAAAUAGGAUGACAAGAGUGAAUAUAACUGUUAGGCCUGCUGGUAGCUUUUACCUAUAAGAGAAUUCCUGUUGUUUUAUUGAAAGGAAAAUAGAUCAAUUACUAUUUUAGUUAUCUAAUGCUGCACAAUAAAUUAUCACAAACUUAGUGGCUUAAAAACCCACGCAUUUAUUACCUGACCAUUUCCGUGGUCAGGAAUCAGGGCAUAGGCUACCCUAAAGUAUCUACGUUAAAGGGGAUGGGGCUACAUCCAAAGUUUAACUGAGGCAGGAUCCUCUUCUAGGUUUACAUGGUUGUUGGCAGAAUUCAGUUCUUUGCUGGCUGUUAGCUGGGGGUUUCCUUUAGUUUCUUAACAUGUGCCCUUUUAUAUGGCAGUUUGUCUCAUCAAAGCCAGCAAGAGGGAGAACCAAUAAUCCAAGUCUACUGUAACAUGGAAACCUCAAUUUCAUGUAAUGUAAUAAUGGAAGUAACAUCCAUCACUUUUGUUGAAUUUUCCUAGCUAGAAGGAGGUCACAGAUCCUGCCUAAACUCAAAGGAAGGGGCUUACAAAAGAGUAUGAAUAACAGAUGGCAGGGAACAUUGGAAGCCAUCUUAGGAGUCUACCCAUCACAAUUAUUAAACCCUAAAGUAUACCUAUAUUUUUGAAUCCAG
rnacentral:lncRNA from 1 species